CCAGGGUGGCUUCCUUAAUGCCCAUGCCCAAGUAAGUAGUCCAUUAAAUUCCCUUACAAACAGAAGCUGAGGCUGCCUUUAUUUCUUGCCAGGACCCUGACGGACACCAGGGCUUUCUUAGGUUUUGUUCUAAAAACCCAGCUCCCGUGGACUGUCUUAGACAACAGCCAAAGACAAGACCCCCGCACUGUCUGUGGGUGCCGGGCAUCGUGUCUCCAUAGGACUUUCCUAACUGCCCCUCAGCUCAUCACCCGGCCUUCAGCCCGAACCGGGAGAGGGCUGAGGAGGGGAGUUUUUGAAGGGAACUCCUAGGAGCAGAGGGCACUCAAGGAGGGGAGAGGGUGUGUCCCCCAACUCGGGCCAUGCGAGGGGGCUCCAAGAAGGGUGAGGCUGUCUGUAGGAGAGACCCUGGCUGAGCAGCUGCAAAGGGCCGCUACUGCAGCAGGGGGAGGGGCUGUUGGGAAGAGGGCUGGGGCCCUCAGGGUCACUGGCAGGACAAGGAUGUAGUGUCCCUUGAGCACCUACUAGGACACAUCAGGCAUCCUUUAAUCCCUAUGUAGGCAGCUGCGGACAGACAUGGCCUUCAGCCCUCCUGGAGCCAGAGGGGGAAAAAAUGACAGCGUGAAAUGAUGAGCAACGUGAAAUGAAAGCAGAGGAGGGAUGGGAAGGAAGGCCACGGAAGAGGAAGAAGCGUAUCUUCUCCAUCUUCUGCAAAGCGCGAGUCCCUUAAACCGAAUUAUAACGAGGUGUAACGUCCAUGCAGUGCAUCAGACCCGUCUUCACAGACAGGUACACCCGCUCACCGCCACCCAGUUGAAACAUACCCGGCAGGUUCCCUUCCCUGGUCCUGGGAAGGACUCAUGUUGAUUCACAGUCUUUAAAAAACCCCGGCUGGCUGGGUGGAGGGUGGGUUGGUGAAGGGCAGGGGAAGGAGUGGACUUCUCAGGCCGGUCAUCCGCUCCCAGGGGCCACCGUGGGUGGGGCGGGAGUGGCCUGUGGCCUCGGCCCUGCAUCUGGCUCCCAAGGCUGCUCAGGCCUCUCGGCUGACCGGGUCCCUCUGCUCUGGCACUGGGACAUCGUUAGGAUGCUGCACACUGGGUCAUCUGAUCAGGGUGGGGGGUUCCUGCCCUUUUGCCGCCAGACUCACUGUCAGAAGGCGGGGGGUGGAUGGAGCUGGGGACACGUGGGCACAGUGGUGUGAGCCACCAGGCUUGCCUCCAAGACUCUUUAAGAGCUAGCAUUUAUCGGGCGCCAACUGCACGUUAGGCUGUCUGCAAUAACCCUGCACAGGAGCAAUUAUUACCUUCAGUUUUACUGCCGGGAAACUGAGCUCGAGUGAGAGGAGUUACUUGGCCUGGGGAGCUGGGUGGAACCAGUAUUUGAACUGAGGCCUGUUUGAUGCCAAAGCCUGGGUGCUAUCCAGUGCCCCCCACAACCUUGCUGGUCUGGUCCCGCUGAAGGAAGGUGUAGGCCAGCUGGCCGGGGAGGUCUAUACGCAGAGGUCUGGACCGCAGCCGGCCCCCGGCUCUGUUCAGUCUGACUGUCUGCUUAUGUCCAGCUGUGAGGCACAGGGGAACCUGGGUCCAACUGGGCAGAAUCUGUGAUGGGAAGUUUGCUCCUCAGGGGCCAGCUGGCUGCGACUCCCAGCUUCUUGGCUGACCGCCUGGAUGCUCCAGACCUGGGUAGGCGGAAAGGGGGUGGAGCAGGGGAGCGAAGGGGUCUGGAGC
rnacentral:lncRNA from 1 species